CACGGGGGGCCUACGGGAGGCAGCAGUGGGGAAUAUUGCACAAUGGGGGAAACCCUGAUGCAGCCAUGCCGCGUGUGUGAAGAAGGCCUUAGGGUUGUAAAGCACUUUCAAUAGUGAGGAAAGGUUGGUAGUUAAUACCUGCCAACUGUGACGUUAACUAUAGAAGAAGCACCGGCUAACUCCGUGCCAGCAGCCGCGGUAAUACGGAGGGUGCAAGCGUUAAUCGGAAUUACUGGGCGUAAAGCGCACGUAGGUGGUUAUUUAAGUCAGUUGUGAAAGCCCAGGGCUCAACCUUGGAAUUGCAAUUGAUACUGGGUAACUUGAGUACAGUAGAGGAGUGUGGAAUUUCAGGUGUAGCGGUGAAAUGCGUAGAGAUCUGAAGGAACAUCAGUGGCGAAGGCGACACUCUGGACUGAUACUGACACUGAGGUGCGAAAGCGUGGGUAGCAAACAGGAUUAGAUACCCUGGUAGUCCACGCCGUAAACGAUGUCUACUAGCCGUUGGGACUCUUGUAGUCUUAGUGGCGCAGCUAACGCGAU
rnacentral:rRNA from 1 species